AGUUCGUGUUACAGAGGUACUGUGAAUGGUUAUACCUUCUCCAAGAUGAUGAACUUUCAGAUUUUCGCCUUAAUCGUGCUCGGGCUAUUUGUUAGCUGGCCUGGGACAACCAUUGUUGUGACUGAGGCAGAAGACUCUGAAAAUACAAAAUUUCUUGCCAGAGUGGAGAGCUGCCGUGGAUGAAGGUUGAACUCGCUCCCUGCGGUGAAGGCUUUCAUCUUUGAAGACCUUCCCUAUUACCAUGAAGUAGAUUUAAGGUUUAUGGGGGGUGCCAAUCCAGACCUACUCAUCCUGGAUUCAGAAGGAAACAUUGACCAGCGAAUUGACCUCUCCGAGAUGAACAGAGGUCAGAUAAAUGAUUUGAUGGUCGAGAACGGCUUUGCGAGGUCAGAGACGGAGAAGGAAAAUAGAGAAGAACUGUAAAACGACGAUGUUGUACUGCAAUUUAAAAUGCAAUAACCCCCUCUACGUCCAAUAAUUCAUGUUGCUUUCUUUCUCUCUCUCUCUC